rnacentral:rRNA from 1 species
GGGUAAAGUUGCGAUGUCGGCUCUUCCCAUCCUGGUCCUGCAGCAGGGGCCAAGGGUGGGGCUGCUCGCCCAUCAAAGGGGAACGUGAGCUGGGUUUAGACCGUCGUGAGACAGGUCGGCCUCUACCUGAUGGAAGCGGUGGUUCACUGAGGGGAAGCCCUGCCCAGUACGAGAGGAACAGCGGGGCGUUGCCUCUGGCGUACCGGUCGUCCGAGAGGGCGUCGCCGGGCAGCUAAGCAAUCGUGGAUAACCGCUGAAAGCAUCUAAGCGGGAAGCCACUCCCGAGAAGAGUGAGCCGUCCGUCCUAACCUCCCCCUCAAAAGGGAGGAGCGGAUGGAGGAGAGAUCCCAUAGAAGAUGGGUUUGAAGUAGUCCCAGUGUACGCAAGAAGCCCGCAAGGGCGACUUGUUCAGCUGGCGGACUAACUACCUCUCAACGCAGGAUGAGU